rnacentral:pre_miRNA from 1 species
CUAAAUGAUUUCAAUUGAAAAAGUCAUCAACAAAAAAGUUGAAUAACUUAUCAAGAUCUAAAACUUUUAUUUUUGUUAUUUCUUCAUCCGACGAAAUGUUAGUAAUAUUAUUCACAAAUUUUACAUAUAUGUGUUAAAGUUUAUAAAACCAGAUAAGAGAUAUGACAAUUUUAUAAAUAAUGUUACCAUCACUUUGUCGUAUGAAGAAAUAACCACAAUAAAAGUUUUAGAUCUUGAAGAGUUAUUCAACUUUGUUGUUGAUGACUUUUUCAGUUGAUAUCAUUUAG